CUUCCCCCUGUCAGCGGGUCUCCACUGAAUCAUCGGCAGGAGUCCCGGAUGAUCCCCCAGUCGCGCAGCCCCUCCCCCGCUCCUUCCCAACCCGCGCUGCCGCAGCCAUCGCAGACUCUAGGGGAGGGAGCGAUGUUCUCUCCUACCAUUCCAGCACCUCCGAAGGUGUAAGGAGCUCAUGCCCCACCUUCCGCCUCCCCACACGCAGUCCAUAGACCUGCCAGCAGGGAGUUUUUUCUGAGCUUUGCUUUGCAGCAUACCCCAAUGCUCCAGCAAGCUGGACCCUGGACACAACUGAGCCACAAGCAGAGCAUUGAAGAAAACACACCCCAGGCCAAGGAUUCAAUAAUUUGGUACAAACGCUUAAUUGUAUCAAUGUCAAUGCCUCUGCUGACGACUACCAAUACAGAAUGGGAAUCCAUGUCGACAUUCUUCCUUCAAGAGUUUUGGAACUCACCCCUAACUUUUCAUGGAAAUGGCCUGCUACUUGUUCUGUGACCUACUGAUGAUAUAUUUUACUUUGAAGCACAGCCAGGACCAGAGAGAGAGAGAGAGAGAAGAAAGAGAGAGAGAAAGGUGAGGAUAUAUUUACAAAGAAGAAAAAUAGCAAAACCUGAUUGCUAAAGAUUUGAAAUCAAAUGAUGAAUUUGUUUUUAAAGUACUUCAUAUAAUUGAAGCCAGAUCUCCACUUAGAAUUCUGUUAGGAAAU
rnacentral:lncRNA from 1 species